GCCCAUAUUGUUUCCUGUUUUUUCUUGUUGUAUCACAUUUUAUUUAGACUGUUUCUGUUUGUCUCGUUCUUCUGUUUCAGAAUCAGAUUCUUCAACUUUCAUUUGCUGUAAUGUUUUCAUCAUCUGUUCUUCUUUUCUUGUGUCUACAUCUUGUUGAAUUUUGUUAAACAUUUUCUCAAAUGCAUCAAGGAUUUCUUCUUUACCUUGAAUCAAAAUCUUUCCACUGAUAAAUAUGGACACAGUGCCUCCAUCAGAGAGCUUCAGUUCGUUUCAAGUUUCAGUUUGUUGUCCAUUUGAAUAUCCUUGGAUUUAAGGCAAAUUCAGGCUCUAGAUUCCUGCUCAUUAUUCUUUGACGUCACCACCCGAUAGACUUCAUUACAACCUCUGGGGCCAUCACAGGGCAGUUGUGGAGCUGUUUUGCAAAGAAGAAUGGGCAAGGAUUUCAGUCUCUAGAUGUGCAAAGCUCGUAGAGACAUACCCUAAAAGACUGGCAGCUGUAAUUGCAGCAAAAGGUGGUUCUACAAAGUAUUGACUCAGGGGGCUGAAUAAUUACGCACACCCCACUUUGCAGUUAUUUAUUUGUAAAAAAUGUUUGGAAUCAUGCAUGAUUUUUGUUCCACUUCUCACGUGUUCACCACUUUGUAUUGUUCUUUCACGUGGAAUUCCAAUAAAAUUGAUUCAUGUUUGUGGCUG
ensembl:lncRNA